rnacentral:rRNA from 1 species
UCCUACGGGAGGCAGCAGUGGGGAAUAUUGCACAAUGGGCGGAAGCCUGAUGCAGCGACGCCGCGUGGGGGAUGACGGCCUUCGGGUUGUAAACCUCUUUCAGUAGGGAACAAGGCGCCAUGUUUGUGGUGUUGAGGGUACUUGCAGAAGAAGCGCCGGCUAACUACGUGCCAGCAGCCGCGGUAAUAG